UCUACCAACGAGAUAAACAUUUUGAAAAUUAUUGAAGUUGACAGAAAAGCAUAAAAUUCUCAGGUCUAAAUGCCUUUAGUUUCAAAUGAUUUAUUUGCUAACCAAAAGACAUUCUUACAAUGUGAAGUAUGUGUACCAUGCCAUUUGCCAAAGUACAUAUAGGUAUCACCGUUUGAAGUAUGUCUUAGGGCUCAAAAUUAACAUAUAUGCCAGACCAUAUUUAAAAAUGUUUGUUUCCCCUCUUCCGAAUCUAAAUUUCAGAGUUGGUAGGUAAAAAGCUUUUUCUUUUAGCCAGCAGAAUUUUAUUUCAUAUGAAUCCCCAUGACCAUCAACAGAGCCCGAUACCAAAACGUCAUGAAGCACAUCAUUCCACGUUUCCUCGUCAAACUUGUAAAGUCGGUUCUUGCAUUAAGUUCUGCAUUUAGCAAUUAGGGGAAGGUGUUGAUACUUUAGACAGUACUACAUGUAUUUCAGAAAUGCUCAUUAUCUAACCACUGAACAUAGACAUAUUGUACAUUUAAAACGGUUGAUUCUACGAACACUCGGGUUUCAUCGGAUUUAUUCUGCUAUUUGUGCCAUAAAUAAAAGUCAGGUAGAAUGUUGUAAUUAUGGGCAAUAGUGUUGUUAUUUCGGACACAUGGUGUUAUAACUUCGGACAGUAAAUUCGGUUGCUGUUUAUUUUGUGGUUCACUGGCAUUUCAUGCUUUUGUUUUUGCACAUUACAGGGAUUAAAAUUAACCCCUAAAAUUAAGUAGUCAAACGGGCUACCAACUUUCAAAUUUCACCAGCCCAGAAUGAGAUCUACUAGCCCAUAUAACGAAGUACACAUUUUGUCAGAAAUAUUCACUUUAUUAUUUAUUAUUCACUGCAUGUACUGUAACUCGUGUUCCAUUUCCUUUUUCAUGCUUGGGGAACGUGCAAAACAUGCCUAGCUCAUCGUCUAACUCAACCACGGUCGGUUUUCCUUCCACGAAAUUUGGAAUUUUCUCUUUCUUGUUAGUUCAUAGUUUAUAUUGUAUUCUCUCUUUCGUUUAUUUGUGGGAUUGGGAGCCUUUAUCCCUUCAAUAAAUCCCCACAUGGCACAUGAUGCUUUUCGGAUUUUCCUAAUUGGGCUAAUCUUCGCCCAUGUGCGACUUAACUAACAGGAAACAUAUCACACAGCGUAAAUGUAGAUACCCAAAUGCACUAUCUAAAAAUUCCGUAACAUUACUACAUAACACACCUUGUUAAAAAAAAAUCGUACAGAGAUUUGCCAAUUGUAUUUUUUUUUUUUUUUAAUUUAAAAAGAUAAUAAACACAAACUAUGAUUUCAAUGAGAAACCGAAGGGGAGGGGGGGGGGGGGGGUGUGAAAUCAAAAUAAAACAGAUUUUACCUGCAAUCUGUUCUUCUGUUAGUUGAUCUGCCUGAAAAAUAUGUAAGUCGAGACAUGAUUUAUUUGCUCUGAACCAAUCACUCACCAUAUUUGACAGCUUUUAAAAUAUGUCAUUCACAAUAGUAGACACGUCAUUUAAUUUUUUCCUUGCAUGUUUGCUCUAGUACACCACUCCCACGAUCUGCCUACAGCAGUUGACUAAAUCUAAUGAGUCAGUUAUUGCGAUACAUUUUGUAAGUCUAAAUUCUGGUUCAAAGCAAUCACAGUGACACUAGAAUCAUUCUUGCAAUUUAAAGCAAGUUAAUUAAAUGUAUCACAAAUUUGAGUAUAAAUUUGAGGUGUGUGUGCAGAGUUUGCAACAUAUGAAAUAUUUUGAUGACACAUUAAAAUCAGCAGCAUGUUUAAGGCAAGGUCUGAAAAAUAAAAGGUCAGUGGAAUACACCGAGAUAAUGAAUCUUGGUCAACAAGAUGCCUUGUGGGCUGGUAAUCUAAUAAUAAAUUCAGACCAAGCGUUUUAUAAUAAUUAUGUAUCAUCUCAAAAAAUACAAUGUUGUACUGUUUUGUCUUUAUUAAAAAGUGUAUUCAACCGUCAUUGGUGACCUGGUUAGUAACUAAAGAUUGUUUUUAUGAAAAAUACAAAUGUUUCCCUAAAUUGGAACUGCUCCAAAUAAAAUCUCAACCCCUUAAUGUACUGCAUGGUAUGGGUGAGAAAGCAAGGGCAGGAACAUAGACAUUAUGAACUCCUAUAAGCAAUCGGGGUUUGACUUUAAAUUUUUUAAGUACCAGACCAGUCAGGCUACUUCAAAUUACAUUUACUAGACCUGACCUUACAUCCACUAGUCCUGACCACCUUACCAGAAAAAAACUAAUAGCUUCUCCAUACUUAACUCAAUGACAAACAUCAAGUUUAAACUAAAACAUAUAUUUUGUCUCAUUAGAAAAUAGUCGUUAGUCUCAGUCAUCAUUGAUGCUUAUUUUAAAACAACAUUUUUUGUUCUUCUCAGAAAUUCUUCAGUCAAUUUAGAAUAAGACCUCAACCAUUUUAUUUAUUUCUGUUUCAUAUCUGCUUCCCUACCUUUUCCUUUUUUCUCUAAGGACAUCUUUCUGUGAGGAUGAGACGUCGUAUUUGAAUACUAGAGACAUUCCCGCACACAUCAACACCGAAAAAUGGCUGCUUAUGGUGCAAUUUAUUUAUUUGAUAAAACUUUCUUACAUUUAAUUCAAAUGAACUUUUUUAAAUCAAAAGAUUUCAGUUUAUAUCUAUCCAAAACAAAAUUUUACACAUUCACAUUUUUAAUUAGCAACGAGUAGAAGUUGUAAAAAUCACCUCCAAUGUCAAUUUAUUUAUUAGAAUAAAUAGAGAUUAAUUUCAGUCAUCAUGCAGUUUAAAAGUGUUUAAAAGUUUUUACAUUUUUCCCCCCAGUAACGGUUCAAAGGGUAAAGUUUCUUGUUUAUUUUUUCAACAUGACCGGUCACAAUAGUAAACUGAUAUUUUACCCUAUCGGGCCCAUCAUUUUAUGAUUCAGGAGACUCGGUAGAUUGAACAUGCCUUAGAAGAAGUGUUCACAAAUUAUUCUACAUCCUCCACUCCUCAGAUCCACUUUAACUUAAAGGAUAACAAUUGGAUCCUCCUCUCUCAACAUCUACAAAUGUCAAUGAAACAUUGUACAGAGUUUCAAGUCUAUCUGAUAAGCCAUAUUCACUGUUCGAAACUGGUUUAAAACUCGGUAUAGACCACAAGUCUAUGACAAAACAAGAUGACAUAGAUCUCAUCGAAUUGACACAGACCCGGUCGGACCGUAACAUUGAAAAAAUAACAAAUUCAAAACAUUUUUAUUUACAUCUAAUGUAUUUAGAAAGCAUAUUUUCUUUCCAUUUCCAUAGCAAUAUCCUCUUUUCCUCAUAAUAUUUCUCAGACGUCUCUAGAAAAUCUGCGUAGACAAUUUGGUUCAUCAAUAACAAUUGGCAUAGACCAUUGUCAUUUGAUAUAGACUCGGUCUAUGGUUAAUUUCUAACACUGCAUAUUAUAUUGGAGCAGAAACGUUCAAAAGAUUUUGUGAUAGACAGAAACAAUACCCCCCCCCCCCAAGGAAGAAGGGAGACAUAAUUUAUCAUCUGGGUUAUCUUAAUGAAAAUCCCAACUCAUGACCCCAAUUUUAUUGAGAUAUCAGUUUUAUGAAUGGUCACAGCUAUCUUAUGUUAGGUUUUGAUAUAAAAGCAUAUCUCUGUACCCAGUGUUGACAAAUUUGUGUCAUGUUGCAUACCAAAAUAUUUUACUAAUAUUUGAUUCUAGAGCAAAGGAUGAUCUAUAACUUUUUUCAUUCUUAGUAACACAUUGCAAACAAAGAUAUUUCUAAUGUUGAUUUCAAGAACGUUGCUGAUUCAAAUGCUGUCAAAGGUAAAACUUAAGCUAGAACACAGAAGGUGGUAGACCAGGAAGAAGAAAAAACAGAUGACAUAGAUUAUUAAUCAAGACAAUAAACAAACCAAAGAUUUUCAUUCCUUAUCAAACAAGAGGUACUGUGAGCAAUGCUCACUAAGAAUACCCCCCGCUUACCCCAAUCUCCCAAAGGGUGUUGGUAAUAGGUAUAAACUACCUCUUUUCUGAGUGUAAAAAACAAAUGGCAUGACAAACCGAACUAUAUUGCUACUUCGAUGUCCAGUGCGCGUGACCUUUGACCUUUUGACCCCAAAAUCGAUAGGGAACAUCUUCAUCCCAUGGGUAGUCCAUAUGUAUGAUAUGGUGACGGUAGGUGGAAAGGAUAACGCUUUAGAGCCCGGAAACCAUAUUGCUACUUCGAUGUCCAGUGCGCUUGACCUUUGACCUCAAAAUCGAUAGGGAACAUCUUCAUCCCAUGGGUAGUCCAUAUGUAUGAUAUGGUGACGGUAGGUGGAAAGGAUAAUGCUUUAGAGCCCGGAAACCACUGCAUCUACAGAUGGACGGACGGACAACCCGAUUCCAGUAUCCCCCCCCCCCCCCAACUUGUUGCGGGGGGUAUAAUAAUAAAUCAUUAAGUGACAAAACACAGGAUUAUACUCAAUCUAAUUUUUUAGACAUCUAGUAUUACAGUGUUUGAAAUUAACCGUAGACCAUUAGACUGAGUCUAUGUCAACUGACACUGGUCUAUGCCAAUUGUAAUUGAGAUAGACCAAAUUGUCUAUGUCAAUUUUCUAGAUUUAGUGCAAUAAAGUUAUCCCAAAGGACCUUGCAUGUUCAGCCGACGUCUGAUAAACGCUAUGAGGAAAGGAUAUUGAAAUGGAAAGAAAAUAUGCUUUCCAAGUACAUUAGAAAUAAAUGAAAAUGUAUUAAAUUUGGGUUAUUUUUUUUCAAUGUUGUGGUCUAUGCCAAUUCGAUGAGGUCUAUUUCAUCUUGUUUUCACAUAAACCAGUGGUCUAUACAAAGUUUUAAACCAAUUUCGAACACUGGUAUUAAAUCUAAACUUUAGUCUGGUCAAUUUUUUGUAUCAAAUGAACAGGUAUCCAGUAAUUUUACCCAUAUUUUUAAAACUCUUUAAUAUUUAAUACUCAUUCAUGUUGAUCGCAGAAUACUUUACAGAUAUGCUGAUACACUAUGAGAUUGUCAACUGUCUUGCACCAUUCACAGGUCUCUUUAAAUGUACAGAUAUAAAAUGACAUGUGUACAAGGUUAGAGUCCUAUUAAAUACAAAAAUAAUUGUUUUAAUGUUAACAUAACACUGUUAGUUAUAUAUGGAUUGCUGCUAAAAACAUUUAACUAAAUUUUGUGAAUUUAUUCUAAUUCCCCUUUGGCAAUCCAGGAAGUAUCCAAGAAUAUCAAUACCUUUAUCUGGUCCAGUCCAAAGACGUAGCUAUUAAUAGCUACCUAGGUAUUUAAACCUACUUAAAGUAGCUAAUUCUACCUACUUUUACCCGUUUUUAAAAAUAUAAAUAAAUAAUAAUUAAGGCGCAUCUUUUAAACAGGUCAGUCGUUUUAUGUAUCAUGUUGUGCAUGUGCAUGGCAAAAUUCGGAGUGUAAAUUUAAUACUUUAUGAGGGUGGAGAAUGUAUAGGAAAUGCAUGAAGGUAAACUUUAAAAUUAAUAGAUUUGCAAGACAUUCUAGACUUUUUAUCACGUAGCUUUGAUCCCAAGCUCCUAGAAAAUGGAACUGGGUGCAGUUAUUGAUGCAUAUAUGAAAGGUUAAAAAGUAAUCAUUUUUUUCUCCCAAUAUUUUUGUGGUAUUCAUCAUCAGUGGAAGUGAAUGAAAAAAAUUGGUAUACACCAUAUUGCGCCAUUCCUGCAUUUGGCCACGAAAUGCAAGUAAAGGAAAAAGUAGGUAAAAAUAGCUACCUGGAGUAGGUUUAAGUACCAAGGUAGCUAUAAGUACCUACGUAGGUAGAAAUAGUCUUUGGACUGGACCUGUUAUCCCCAUAAAACAACAUACUAAACAACAAUAUACAAAGCAAUGAUUCUAAAAUGUCAAUUACUUGAAUCAGAAUAAAUAAAAUGUCAAGUACUUGUACAACAAUACACAUUGUGCAUGUUCAUUAGAGAAUGUUACAUAGACCCUGUAGAAAUAGUCUUUGGGCUGGACCUGUUUAGUGUUUCCCCCAUAAAACAACAUACUAUUACUAAAAUAACAAUAUACAAAGCAAUGAUUCCGAAAUAUCAAUUUCUUGAAUCAGAAUAAUUAAAAUUUCAAUUACUUGUACAACAUUACACAUUGAGCAUGUUCACUAGAGAAUGCUGCAUCAACUUGGAAUUUCGGGAGAGUGCAACUCGUAAGCCUACCACUUGUCAUGCUGAUGUAUGAUCUAUUAAUUCACAAUUAGUUUAUUGAAAUUAGUGUUCGCGACCAACAUACACUGUUUCUGAUGUUCUUGUCUGUUCUAUAGUUAAAUUCAUAAUAAAUCUAACAGACGAAGUGAGUUAGCUCUCCAUGGACUAUAGUAGUCGUCAUGAAUGUAAACAUUUCAUUGCCGGUUGUUCUGUGUCAACCAUGAAAAUCCAAAAAAUAUUCGCAGUAUUCAAUAUACAAGUCUCUUCCACCAUAAUAUUAACUAAAUGGUGGCUCGAUGGCUAAAAUUUACAACUUACCAUAGCGGAUACAGUAGAAAAUAAAGCGGCAACCCGACAAUCGUCGUGCAGAUGAUGAGCUCAAUUGAUGGUGUAUCCC